GAGUAGUAAUAGUUAUGUUCUUGAAACUUAAAGAAUUUGGCGGUAUUUUAAUCUAUUCAGAGGAACCUGUUCUAUAAUCGAUAAUCCACGAGGACUUUACUUAAACUUGUUUACAAUUUGUAUACCGCCGUUAUUGAUUAUCUUGUAAGAGAAAUAAUUUUCUUAAUUUUUUAAAAAUAUAUCAGGUCAAGGUGCAGUUUAUGUUUAAGGAAGAAAUGGGUUACAAUAACUUUAUUUAAACGGAAAUUUAAUUGAAAUAUUAUAUAGAAGGCGGAUUUGAUAGUAAAGUAAUGAAUUUAGUUAACUUGAUUGUAGCUCUAAAAUAUGU
rnacentral:rRNA from 1 species